UGCCAGCCGCCGCGGUAAUACGGAGGGUGCAAACGUUGCUCGGAAUCAUUGGGCGUAAAGCGCGCGUAGGCGGCUAGGAAAGUUGGAUGUGAAAGCCCCGGGCUCAACCUGGGAAGUGCAUCCAAAACUGCCUGGCUAGAAUCUCGGAGGGGGCCAGAGAAUUCCCGGUGUAGAGGUGAAAUUCGUAGAUAUCGGGAGGAAUACCAGUGGCGAAGGCGCUGGCCUGGACGAUGAUUGACGCUGAGGUGCGAAAGCGUGGGGAGCAAACAGGAUUAGAUA
rnacentral:rRNA from 1 species